ensembl:lncRNA
CAUUUUUGAAGUCUCUGAAUGAAAAAUAAUAAUGUAAUCACAACAAAAUUGUUGAUAUUGUGACAGUUCCUUGGGAAACUAAGUUGUGGACCCAUAGAAAAGCAGGGAGCCAAUCAAACAGGGUCAGCCAAUAGAUCAGAUACGCUCUUGUCCAAUCUACUAACAUUUCUGCAUGCACUCUUCCAUAACCUAUCCCAGGGCUUCACUAUCUUUUUAGUGAAAAGAAUAUUCUUCAUCCAAAGGCCAACCUCCAACUGCUCUGUUACAACUGAAUCCCUUCAUUUUCUGUUCUAUCCCCUGCGGUAAUGGUGACCAUACUAAUUACUGGUGAAAUUAAAGUCAGCUCUCUAUUACAGCAGCCUCUUCAGCAGAUGGGUUAACCUGGCAAAGCCUGUUAAGAAUGUGGGGAGGAAGAGCAGUGAAGUGAGAUGAAUAAGGCAAGUGGAGGUGGGCGUAUAGAGCAUAUGAUCGUCUGUUUUGACUGACUGGAGACAACUGGAGAAAGUAAUGAUCCCUGAAAUCAUCCAGAAUAAGUUAGGACACUGAAAUCAAUACGGAAGCUUCUGAUUAAUUCAACACAGAGUCAUUUUCACCGACCACCAUGUCUCUGCUGCUGCCACCAAUUUUCUGGAGAAGGAAAACUCCAAAACUGAAAAAAAGCAUUUUUGGCCAAUCCACACUAGCAGUCAUUGGGCUGAAGUUUUCUUUGUCUCCCAGGAUGGAGAAAUUGGACUGAUUCCUCAGACAAGGAAGAGAGCCAGGCACCAAAUCCCGAGAUCUGGAUCUGCAAUCACUGCCUGGUCAGGCUGGAAUGAAUAAUCCAGCUGUAAUGGGGUGUGGGAAUGUGUGCAGCAUGCCCUUUUUUAAACUUCUGAUACUUUGCAGAAGAGGCACACCUUACAUCAGCCAGGCCUUACAGAAAGUUCAGUUCAAAGUUUUUGGCUUUUUCUGCGUCUUUUGAAUGAAACAAACACAGAUUACAUAGUUUUAAAUUCCCCAUCCUAUCUACACAGGCUCAUUUGCUGUCAUGUUUAGCUACUUGUAGAAAAGAAGAAACACUACCCCUUUAAUUCUUCAAAUAGGUUACUAGAAAAACAUUAGCAUUUUUGCAAAAUAUAUUGGGUUGACUGUUUUGGUUUAUUUUUGCUGAGAGCAGACUGGAUUGACUACAGAAAGGUUGGCAAGUGGAAAGUACAAAGUCUCUUUAUAAAAGUGAUCUGAGGAGCAGGAGCACGCACCUAGGAAAUCUUUGUUGAUUGUUGCUAAUAUCUAUGAUAAUUAAGCUAAAAAUAUCCACAAAGCAAUAGAAUUUGCAGAGACGACUCUACUGUCUUAAGCAAAUAAUGAAGCAGGGAACAGUUAAAUUGAUCCCACAACUCCCAUUUCAAUAACAAAGCAGCAACAACUGUUAAUCUAUAGCACUCACUUUAGAUUACAAACCUAACACUGAACAGGCAAUUUCAUUAGUGAGAAUACAGCUGAGAGAGAAAUGCUGGGAGGGAAAAAAGCCAUCCCUGUUGAAAUCAAAGCAUCCUGAGAAUUUCUUGCUGCUGUGUGCCCAGAAGUGCAAUCAGGGAAAAGUUCUGAAGAUAUCAGGUACAGCUAUAGGAAGCAGUUCCCUUUUGUUUUGCCCUGAAGGCUGUCAGAACACAGCCUGCUGACCGAUCUCACCAACCCAGGUUUUUCCUUUUUAUUCUUGUCCCCCAGCUCAACACAUUCUCUGAGAGCCAACCAACCCCCAAGCUCACCCACAGAUACCAGCACUGCCUGGAAGAGAGAGUUCUCUUUUAAAAUUAGCUCCUUUCAGACGCUUGUACAAACCCAUAGAUAUCACAGGGCCUGCAGAACCAGUGCCAAGGAACAUCCCCAGAGUGAUGCUGCCAAUGAAGGAGGGAAGGCUCAUUCCCCAUCAGUGCUGGCAGCUGUGGGGACCUUAUGGGAGUCAGAACUUUCUGUUCUCACUGAAGGUAGCAGGCAGGACUAUAAAUAUCCACAUAGAACAUAUUUACUGAAGGAUUGAGUGCUGUAAGAACACAUUUUAGAGGUAAUAGCAGCUACUGAGAUAAAAUCAAAGAACUACAUAAUAAUGGAGGUGAGAAGGGACCUCUGAAAGCACCUACUCCAGCCUCCUGCUCAAAGCAGAGCCAACUUCCAUUACAGGGUGUGCUGCCUGCGACCGUGGCCAGCUGUGUUCUGACAGAUCUCAGGGAUGGAGAGCCCACAGACUUUCCAAGGAAGCUGUUUCUGUGUUGCAUAACCUUCAUUCUGAUGAAUUUUUUCCUCAGAAUGUACGUCUACUCUCUCAUCAUUUUGCAGCAUGCUGCUGCAGAGAGUCUGACUCCAGCUUCACUACAAUAUCAUUGAGGUAAUGGAAGACGGCAAUUAGAAGUCCCAUUAGCCAACCUUCUCCAGGCUAAACAAACUCAGCACCCUUAGACUCUCCUAAUACAUCUCCUGAACAUCCUAUUGACCCUUGACUGGACGUGCUCCCAUUUUUUGACCUAUCAGUUGCACUGGAACAGUCUUCCAACUGUGAGUUGCAAUCUCACAAGUGCAGAGCUGAGGUUAAUGAUGGACCUGUUGGCUACAUUCAUAUGCAGCCAGGCUUCAUUACCCUAAGCACACACUGCUCAUAACCACUUUGUGGUCCACCAGGACCCCAGGUCCUUUCUGCAGAGCUUCUCCCAUUCAGUCCAUAUUGUUGAUGUAUCUCAGAGGCAGGACCAGCUGUGCUUGCCCUCAGGAUGAGAUUCUUGCUAGCCUAUUCUUCAAGCUUGUUAAGAUCUUUGCCUUUCUUUGAUAACAGACCUUAGAAGUUUGGGUAACAUUUUCUGCAUGUGCUCAUGAAAAGAAAAAAAAAUGAAUAAAGAGAGAAAAAAAAGAAGAAAAAAAAGGAGUAAAUAUAGGACUUUUGUAUAUAUGUGCAAACUCACAAGUGUUAUGCUGUUUUGUACCACCACUCUACAUUCCUUACAAUACUACUAGAGGCCAAGGAAAACUGAAAUCCCAGCUGACAUCAACAGGAGUUUUUACUGGCUGCGAUGACCUUGAAGAUAGUCCAGACAUGUAAAGCACAACAGCAGGAAUCAGGAUGUCAGCAUUAGCACUGGGAUGGAAUUGAUUAACAUGAUUUUUCUAGAAAGGAAGGAAGAUAAGUUGCUGCUUUUGAGUGGGGGACUUGAAAUCUAUAACUAAUAUUCCUGACUGAAAUUCUGUUAGCAAAAUUUAUGACACAGAUGGGAAUCACAUUUUUCUUCAGAUAAGAACACUUCUUGUAGUCAUUCAUUCUGUAUUUCAUGAGACACUAGCAGAUACAGUGAGCUAUUUCACUCUAUUUCUGCUUAUAGAGCAUCCUGACUUUUCGACACUUCAAAAACUGUAUAUAUUGUGAUGACUAUAUAGACAACCUCAAUGAAAGUCUACUACUGCAUGCUUAAUAAUUCACUUGUAUCCAAAUGGAAAUAUUCAUUGCAGCAUUAGCAAAGGCUGUUCUAAGUCAUGCAGUGGCUGUUCACCAAAUUUAACUUCCCAUGCCCAGAUUCUUGUAAGAAUUUCUCCUAUACAUCGCAUCUCCUUUAUUGCUUUAUUGCAGGAGUUUAGAAAAAACGCUGCCCUUCCAUAAUGGAAUUUUUCUCCUCCCUUGUUGCAGUUGCGUAUGCAUUUUACAAGUACACAAUGACUGUGCUGCUUUAACUUUGUUACAAUACUCGGGGAAUAAUUAGUUCUGUAUCUUCUAACAAAGAACAAAUGUAUUUGUUCAAAAAUUAAAUAUUUACUUUCCUAAGAGCCAUCAUAAGUUGUUGUGAGUGCUUGUCUACAUUAUGUGUGGAAAAUUAAAUAUACUCUGUAUAAUAAUUCUGCUGGUAUAAUAAAGGAUUAUGCAUGACAAGGGAAA